rnacentral:hammerhead_ribozyme from 1 species
AUCCAGUUGACGAGCCCCAAAUAGGACGAAACGCGCGUCGUGAAU